AACUAGCCCCGAUUGAAGCGGCAUCCUUUUUUGAAAUGGCCUUGUAAAAAAGCAUUGGCGAAAAAAGAUAUAGCGGAAAGCGGGAUUAAGC
rnacentral:sRNA from 1 species